CCUACGGGAGGCAGCAGUAAGGAAUAUUGGUCAAUGGACGAAAGUCUGAACCGGCCAUGCCGCGUGAAGGAUUAAGGCCCUCUGGGUUGUAAACUUCUUUUAUCUGGGACGAAAAAAGGGUAUUCUUACUCACUUGACGGUACCAGAGGAAUAAGCACCGGCUAACUCCGUGCCAGCAGCCGCGGUAAUACGGAGGGUGCAAGCGUUAUCCGGAUUUACUGGGUUUAAAGGGUGCGUAGGUGGGCUUGUAAGUCAGUGGUGAAAUCUCCGGGCUUAACCCCGGAAACUGCCAUUGAUACUAUAGGUCUUGAAUUAUCUGGAGGUAAGCGGAAUAUGUCAUGUAGCGGUGAAAUGCUUAGAUAUGACAUAGAACACCAAUUGCGAAGGCAGCUUACUACGGAUAUAUUGACACUGAGGCACGAAAGCGUGGGGAUCAAACAGGAUUAGAUACCCUGGUAGUCCACGCCCUAAACGAUGGAUACUCGACAUCAGCGAUACACUGUUGGUGUCUGAGCGAAAGCAUUAAGUAUCCCACCUGGGAAGUACGAUCGCAAGAUUGAAACUCAAAUGAAUUGACGG
rnacentral:rRNA from 1 species